rnacentral:rRNA from 1 species
UUUAAUUGAAGAGUUUGAUCAUGGCUCAGAUUGAACGCUGGCGGCAGGCCUAACACAUGCAAGUCGAGCGGUAACAUUUCUAGCUUGCUAGAAGAUGACGAGCGGCGGACGGGUGAGUAAUGCUUGGGAACAUGCCUUGAGGUGGGGGACAACAGUUGGAAACGACUGCUAAUACCGCAUAAUGUCUACGGACCAAAGGGGGCUUCGGCUCUCGCCUUUAGAUUGGCCCAAGUGGGAUUAGCUAGUUGGUGAGGUAAUGGCUCACCAAGGCGACGAUCCCUAGCUGGUUUGAGAGGAUGAUCAGCCACACUGGGACUGAGACACGGCCCAGACUCCUACGGGAGGCAGCAGUGGGGAAUAUUGCACAAUGGGCGCAAGCCUGAUGCAGCCAUGCCGCGUGUGUGAAGAAGGCCUUCGGGUUGUAAAGCACUUUCAGUCAGGAGGAAAGGUUAGUAGUUAAUACCUGCUAG